rnacentral:lncRNA from 1 species
CCAAGAAUAUAGGGAAUUGAUAAAGUAUCAAGUUACAGAAGAUUUAAAUAGUCAGUGCCAUAGAGUCUAUCGCACUGAUUCCCAGAAUAUGAGUCAUUGCUUUUCUGAUAUUAUGACUCAAUUUAUAACAAACAUAAAAUGCCACAGUUUCACUCUGCUCUGGUGGUUGUGAGAAUCUGAGAAUAAAACAUAUUACCAGAGUUUUCUGUUUUCUUAUGGUCUCAAAUUUUAAAUUUCUUUGAUUCUUCUAAAAUGAAAGCAGGACAUUUUUCUUCUGUCUUUGUUUAUGGCUUAUGUUGUCUAAGCAGGAAGAGGCUGACCCAUUAGGACUAUAACAUUUUGAGUAAAACUAUAAAAUACUUUUCAACUUUUUAAUUUGAAUAUAUGAGAAGACAGAUAUAUUGAAUCAAACUUGAAACUGUACAAUUCUUUGAUGUUGUGGAAUGAGGGGGUUGAGAAGUGCUGAAACGGCAGGAGCAGAGUUAAUUUAGGAAGGAGCCCACUUAUGGAUGGGAAGUAUUAACUGCUAAUGCCUGACUAUUUUUCUAUGCUGUGGCUAACAGACAUUUUCUUUUUGUUUAUUAUUUCAAGCUCUUUGAAUACCUGCAGGCAUGACACUUAGAAAAAUUUAUACUCUAUGGUUAAUGUCCUAUUUCCUUCUAUCUUAUGCAAUUUAAGUGUUUUCUUCCUUUGAUUAUAUGCAUACAAUGUAUACUUGUAAAAAUCACCCUCAAGUGAUUCAGCCAUGAGAUUAACACACCCAUUUGCCAAACAAAUUCCCUGGAAUCUAUCAGAAUAAAGAAGAAAGCACAAGGAAACAAGCUGAGCUUAAGCACUUUCUCUUUCUUUUUUUCCUUUGAACCCCAUAAUUUCCUGCUGUGUCUGGGGAUCAGCUCUAAAUAAGUCUACUGCUCAAAGGACUGUCUUGUACACUGAGAAUAAAAAAAAAUUAAAAAGAUCUGCAUUCACAAAAAGAGAAAUGUGAAUAACAGCAUUCUUAAAAGGGUGUCGACAUUGUAGGCAUUUGUUCAAGGUAGGUUGUUAAAAGUCAGAAUACACUCCAAUGUCCAGUGAUGAGGGAAAGACCAUUUCAUAAGCAAACAUGCUUGUGUCACUUUGCCCAACACUGUCACACCAUUCACCACUGUGCUAAAACCAAUAACAGGUUCCUAAAAAGCCUAACAUUCACCCAGGUUUUUGCCUGGUACUGAUUGUCCUUGUCUAAUUUCACAUGUUAUAUUUGUAAGGAUACAGAUUUCUGAACUGGUAUGGAUUGUGCUCAUAAAAAUAUAGCUAAAACCUAUAUUUAGAUUUCCAGAGAAAUAGAACUAGUUGGAUAUCUGUCUAUCUAUCUAUCUAGAGCUUGAUUUAUUAUAAGAAAUUGGCUUACACGGUUAUGGAGGCUGGAAAGUCCGAAAUCAGUGUAGCUAGUGUCCCAAUUCAAGUCUGAAGGCUGAAAGUUGCCAUAGAGACAGAAAAAGCCAAUGUCCCAGUUUGGAGGCCAUCAGGCAGGAAGAGCUGAGGUUUCUCUGAGGGAGAUGAGUUGUGAAUCACUGCUAUAGAAACAAUGGCGGUUGUUCAUUUCAUCCCUGAAUUUCCUUGUUUGUGAAUGAGAACUGAUGAGGUUGUCAGAAUUCAAUAUAGAUCCUAUAGAUCGUGACCUGUUAGCAAAACAGGCUUAAAAGGCAUUUUAGCUGUGUUUCAUUGCCAAUACCUCAUUCUUUAAAUGUAUUUAAGUCCUUCCUUGAUAACAAGAAUAGGCUGAAACUCAAAACCACAACAUAGAAGUUUGUACUUUAGGGGAGUUGAGUGCUCUUGAGCUCAGUACUAAGUUCUCUUCUGCUUUUCCAGGUAAACUUUCCUCUGGGACAUCUCAAGAGAUUCAUGGCUUUAAUAUCCUCUUCAUGCUGAUCAUUUCAAAAUAUGUUUCUCUGGCUCUCACUUCUCCAGUAAGCUCCAGACUUAUCAUCUGACUACUUAUUGGUAUCUCCAGUUAGAUGUCUAAUAGGCAUCUUUUAAACUAUAAAGAUACAUAUCCAGAAUAGAAUUUGGGGUCCAUUGCCCUCCAAAAUCUGAUCAUCACCCAGUCUCCCAUAUAUUAAUUAAUGACUCCUCUUUACCCUGUUGCUUAGGAUGUGGUAGAUCGUAUUUCUGUAAGUGACCAAAAGAAAGAUUUUUCAUUCCACAUGCUUUUCUUACAAUGUGACUUUUGCUCUCUUCCCUUGGGACUUGGGGUCUGUGGUCUUGUUCCUUAAAACUUGGUAGGGAUUUGUGACUAUCCCCACAAAUAGAAUAUAGUGGACAUGAUGUUUGGUGACAUUAAAAACCAGGAAAAAAGGCAAAACAGCUUCCAUCUGGCUCUCUCUCUUUGGGAAUGCUUCCCCUGAGGCUAGUCAUGCACCAUGAUGCAAGGAAGCCCAAACUAGUCCAUAGGGAGGGAUGAUACAGAGAGGGCAAAGUGAAGAAGCAGGGAGGUCCCCAACUCAAGCCAGCAUCAGCUGCCAUAGGUGUGAAUGAACAAGACAUCAGGUCUUUCCUACCCCCAGCUUUUGAGUCAUGUGGCCGAGAGCUCAGAUGUUCUGGGGGUAGAGACAUACCACUAAACUUUGGGUAGUUUAUUAUACAGUUUUCGAGGAGGAAAAAUAUUUUUUUUUUUCUGCCCAUCUUGGUUUUUCUGAUUGGUCUAAGAAUUAAAUUGACAUAAGACAUAUUAAAAGGAGAAAAUAAAACAAAAGUUUAAUAACAUGUGUACAUGGUAGAGAGGCAACAAAACCGAGUAACUGGCCAAAAUGGCUGAAACCACUUAGCAUCUUCAGCUAAAGGGAAAAGAAGAUGUUGGGUAGUGGGUUGGGAUUUCAGAGGGGAGGAAAGGAAUUCACAGGGAAAUUGAAAAACAAAUGCUUGCUAAAGAAAUGUUUGCUACGGAGUUCCCGUCGUGGCGCAGUGGUUAACGAAUCCGACUAGGAACCAUAAGGUUGCGGGUUCAGUCCCUGCCCUUGCUCAGUAGGUUAACGAUCUGGUGGUGCCAUGAGCUGUGGUGUAGGUUGCAGACGCGGCUCGGAUCCCGCGUUGCUGUGGCUCUGGCGUAGGCCGGUGGCUACAGCUCCGAUUAGACCCCUAGCCUGGGAACCUCCAUAUGCCGUGGGAGCGGCCCAAGAAAUAGCAACAACAACAAC